AUGCACCUGAAGGUAUACAACUCUUGCUCAGACUGCAUUCAGAUGCUUGACACUGAAGGUAAUACUACUCGGGAUCGGAUUGAUUCAUUUUAUCUACUUCUGGAGGUAUGUGUUCUUGUGCAUUUACGUUCUGUUUCUCUCCGCCUGAAGGUAUAUGCUCUUGCUCAUAUUGAUUCAGUUUCUCUCCGCCUGAAGGUAUCUUCUCUUGUUCAGAUUGAUUCAUUUUCUCUCCAUCUGAGGGUAUGUUUUCUUGCACAUAUAGAUUCAGUUUCUCUCUGCCUGAGGGUAUAUACUCUUGUUCAGAUUGAUUCAGAUUCUCUCCAUCUGUGGGUAUGUGUUCUUGUGCAUUUAGAUUCAGUUUCUCUCCUCCUGAAGGUAUAUACUCUUGUUCAGAUUGAUUCAGUCUCUCUGAGUGUAUAUACUCUUGCUCAGGUUGAUUCAGUCUCUCUGAGUGUAUAUACUUUUGCUCAGUUUGAUUCAGUCUCUCUGAGUGUAUCUGCUCUACCUCCUCACUGUAUAAUAUGUCUUGUGUCUGGGAAAGUUCAGUGUGAGACUCAAUUUGAAGACUCAGUACUGACUCGCUCUCAAUCAUCUGCCCAGUAAAGUGUUCACUGUAACUGGAUAUAGAUAAAUUCUCUAGCUCUUGCUCCACCAAUCUAUCAAUUCUUUCUUCAUUAUAGUCCUCAUCAGAGCACACCAUGGAGUACUCUCCAGGUUCUGUAAGUUCCUCAUAGGAUUGCUCCUCUUCUGCCUCCUGAAUCAACUGAUCUACAGCAUUCUCCUCAUCGUUCUCCUGUGUAGCAUGCUCCUUUGUUUGGCUAGCAUCCACGUCGCCUUGGUGAGUGGAGCCCAUGUGACGUUCCUGAUCUAUGACAUCUCCUUCUGACUCUUCAUACAGAUCCUCCAUGGUGUCAAACUGUUUGGACUUGCCUUCGCCCCAGGUGUCUGUUCCUGUCUGGCAAACCUCCCUGUCCUCUUCACCAUCACUGGAGUCGCUCUCGCCCAUGUGUGAAGCCAGAGUGUUGACAUCCGUCUCGUCACUCUUGUAACGGAUCAAGGGGUGUGUGUCGGCUAGUGUGUUGUCCUGAGCAUAGCUGUCGCCUUCUAGCUCAGCCCUCCAUGAAACAGAAUUAUUUUGACAGUAGUUUGCCUCAUCAUGAUCCUCUUUGUCAUUGUCGGAUAUAUUCAGUUUAUCUCCGCCUGAAGUUAUGUACUCUGGCUCGGAUUGAUUCAGUUUCUCUCCACCUGAAGGUAUAUACUCUGACUCGGGAUUGAUUCAUUUCCUCCGUCUGUUGUUAUGUGUUCUUGUGCAUUUACGUUCUGUUUCCUCUCCGCCUGAAGUUAUGUACUCUGGCUCGGAUUGAUUCAGUUUCUCUCCGCCUGAAGGUAUAUGUUCUUGCUCAGAUUGAUUCAGUUUCUCUCCGCCUGAAGGUAUAUGUUCUUGCUCGGAUUGAUUCGUUUCUCUCCGCCUGAAGUUAU
rnacentral:lncRNA from 1 species